UGGUGGAGCAUGUGGUUUAAUUCGAAGCAACGCGAAGAACCUUACCAGGUCUUGACAUCCUUUGACCACUCUAGAGAUAGAGCUUUCCCUUCGGGGACAAAGUGACAGGUGGUGCAUGGUUGUCGUCAGCUCGUGUCGUGAGAUGUUGGGUUAAGUCCCGCAACGAGCGCAACCCUUAUUACUAGUUGCCAGCAUUUAGUUGGGCACUCUAGUGAGACUGCCGGUGACAAACCGGAGGAAGGUGGGGAUGACGUCAAAUCAUCAUGCCCCUUAUGACCUGGGCUACACACGUGCUACAAUGGAUGGUACAACGAGUCGCAAGGUCGCGAGGCCAAGCUAAUCUCUUAAAGCCAUUCUCAGUUCGGAUUGUAGGCUGCAACUCGCCUACANNAAGCCGGAAUCGC
rnacentral:rRNA from 1 species